rnacentral:lncRNA from 1 species
CUCCACUAACGUUGAAAUAAUCAAGAACCAACUAGUCACCUAGACCCAAGCUAGAUAGAAACCCCAAGUCCAAGUGUAACCAUCAGAUACCAGACCCUGAGAGUUAUGUGUUAGUUAACUCUAGUGACUUAUAAUAAAGUUUAACAUAUUGUCAUUACAAUUCAAUCUAUUAUGACAAAUAAACGAUACUAAUUAUAUAAUUUUUAAAUAUAUCACAAGUGUUAAAUAUCAUCAUCAGUUAUCUAUUCUUUUAAUUUAUUAAUCAACUUUAAAACAGAUGUGAAGAAAUUCACUCUCAAAACAAGAAACAAUUCUCUGAGUUUAAAUUUUAUCUUAUCAAUCUCAUUAUUGAAUCUCAUACUAUAUUUAUAAAAAAAAUAAGAGAAACAACAUAUAGUUCUAAUAAAUUUUGGACAACCUAAUAGACAGUAAUAGAUGACGAAAUAAAUAAAAUUAGGAAAUUAAUUGUUAACAUUUCCUCUCAUAACUCAUUAAUCUUCUUAUCAAUAUGAUUUUUGAGGUUACAAUAACGAUUUAACGUCGAUUUCGAUAUAACGUUUUUAUCCAAUAUACCAAAAUAUCAGAUAAAAUAAAAUUAACAAUUCAUAAAUCAUAACAACUCAUUAAAUCAUAAAACUAUCAAAAAAAUGAUAAACGAAAAAAAGAGUAAAAAUAACGAUUUAAAAAUAAACUUCAAAAACUGAAAACUAUUAAUUCGUUAAUCAAUAGAUUUAUGCAAUAAACACAGUAAAGCUACAAGAUUAGUUAAAUAAAAAAUCAUAAGAUCCAAUAAAUUUAUCUUCUUACGAAUGCUAUAUUAUAGAUAAAAUAUCAGCAAUAAAAUGUAAUAAAAAAACUGAACAUAAAAAGAACAAAGAAAUCUUUGAAUAGUUCUCAGUAAGAUGGCACAGUUUUUCCACAUGAGAAAGACAAGUCUGAGAGUCCAUCAAAAGUCAAAUAAAGAAAUCGAUCGGUAAUCCAUUCACAAAACUCACCAUAGCUUCAGAGAACCGAGAUCAUACAGAUCAAACAGGAUCCGUCGGGAUCUCAAUACACAGAAGCAACGGAUCUCCAGACGAAGUAGAUGGAAAACCAAAUCGACUACAACAGAUAAACUCCCUCGCACGCUUCCAUUUUCAGUGUGGUUAAAGCAAAUCAAUCAUCAUCGAACUCGACAAAUAUAAAAAAAAAAUCAAACGAAAUUAGGAAAAAAAAACUAUACAGAAAAGCAAACAAAGAAAGCCUUUAGAGUAAAAUUAGGAGGAUGGUUCUUACGCCGCCGGCAACAAAACUUUCUGCAAUAUUUAUAGAAUUAUACGGAGCAGUUAGGGCUCGGUUUUAUUUUCUUUUGUUGAACUGGAUUUCUAAUCUAGCCCACCAAAAUAGAGGAGAUCCAGUCCAGCAAUAAAAAAAUCUCGCUUGUUGGGUUUGCUGUUGCAGUAUCGAGAGCAAGACUGUCCGACCCGAGAUCCGACCUGUUCCGCACCUUAUUCCUCCAGCACGGAGACCGCUCUGCUUGGGAUCCGUCUCGUUCUCAUACAAACCUAUCAGAAAUUGAAUUUAUAAUCUAGUAUAAAUUUUUAUCUUCAUAAAAUAACUUGAAUUAUCGUUUUUAGAAAAUUUAGUGAUGGUAUUCGAUCAUGCCAGAGUGCUCUGCUUCU